rnacentral:tRNA from 1 species
ACCGAAAUAGCUCAGUUGGGAGAGCGUUAGACUAUAGAUCGAAAAGUCCCUGGUUCGAUUCCGGAGUCCGGCA